CUGAAAUGGGUUAUGAUCAUCAGACGAAUCGGGAAAAGUUGUGUAUUUUGACAUCUUGGUGCUGGUUUAGAUCUCGCCAAGAUGUAAAAACAGGUUUAACUCAAAGGCGAUGACCAGAUACAAAGCGAAACAGUGUUGUUUAGCGGAUAAUUACCGGUAAACCUCAAUCCAGUUCGCCAAUCAAGCAAAGCGUGGCCCCAUGACAUCAUCGCCUGUGGAAUGAGCUGACAUGAAGCCCACACUGGUGAGUUGCCAAGGGAACUAGCAGGGAUGGAGGGAGCUUCAGUGGACCGCGUGUGGGUUUGUGGGUUUUGCCCCUGUUUCGCAACAGUAUGGUGUCAAUUAAAGAGGGCCAGAAAUCAGGAUCUGGGCCUCAUUUGGUGCAUACCACCACCACAACGGCCUUAAGCCACAUGAGGCAAAAACUAAAUACAUAAUGACGACUUGAUGACCCGGUUCUAGAGUUUUUGCAUUAUUAAUCUUGUUAACGAGGUGAGCGGUGAACACACCAGGCGUCACAGCGGAUAUGAAUAAUAUGUGCAAGUCUGAAAGCAUUUUGGCACAAUCGCGGAAUUGUAAAUUGAGUCAAGAAGCCCAAACAGACACAUGGAAUGCGUAAAAGUUAAUGCUGAGCAACAUGUCUCACACAAAUGUAUUCAUCCACACAGGCUUCUUCAUCUUGCUUAUAUACACUAUGAACAGCAGCUACGCUAAUUAUUCUCUUUAUUCUCUAUUUCACCUGAGGGUACUCAUCCCGAAGUCCUCA
rnacentral:lncRNA from 1 species